UACGGAGGGUGCAAGCGUUAUCCGGAUUCACUGGGUUUAAAGGGUGCGUAGGAGGACAGGUAAGUCAGUGGUGAAAUCUCCGAGCUUAACUUGGAAACUGCCGUUGAUACUAUCUGUCUUGAAUAUCGUGGAGGUAAGCGGAAUAUGUCAUGUAGCGGUGAAAUGCUUAGAUAUGACAUAGAACACCCAUUGCGAAGGCAGCUUACUACACGAUCAUUGACGCUGAGGCACGAAAGCGUGGGGAGCAAACAGG
rnacentral:rRNA from 1 species